rnacentral:rRNA from 1 species
GAUCCUGGCUCAGGACGAACGCUGGCGGCGUGCCUAACACAUGCAAGUCGAACGGAACUGUUUUGAAAGAUUUCUUCGGAAUGAAUUUGAUUUAGUUUAGUGGCGGACGGGUGAGUAACGCGUGAGUAACCUGCCCUCAAGAGGGGGGAUAACAUUCUGAAAAGAAUGCUAAUACCGCAUGACAUAUCGGAAUCACAUGGUUUUGAUAUCAAAGAUUUUAUCGCUUGAAGAUGGACUCGCGUCCG